CUGCCCACUUUUUAAUCAGAUUGUGUUUUAGCUAUUGAGUUGCAUCAAUUGUUCACAUAUUUUGGAUGUUAAGUAUAUGACGAUAUCAAGUAUAUGAUCUGCAAGUAUCUUCUAUUCUGUAUCUUAUCAGUUUUAACAGAGACCACAUACCUGGCCCUAGGAGAAGCCCAGAGAACAUAAAGAUGAGGAGAACCCAGUUUCUGUGUUUGGGUCUAAUGGAAAAAGCAAAGGACUACUAUAAAGCUAAUUACACAGUGCUUGCCACGAAGAAAAUGAUCAAUAGAGCUUGACUUCCACCAAUAUGGACAACUGUCUUUGGGCUACAUCCGGUCCUUCAUGCCCUUACCUGGCCUGGUGAAGAGUACUUCCACACUGACCUCAGGGAAACAGAGGUUUCAGAGAAUUACCUGUAGGUUGUAUCAACACUUAGGUUGGCUGCUGCUAGCUCUGAUGGAGGUAUCCAUGCAGGUAAGGUGUUCCCAGCAACCCAUUUUGUCCAUUCAAAUAAGCCAGGCUCCA